rnacentral:rRNA from 1 species
CUUAGAGAUGCGAGUCGGAGCGGGCGUAGCAGAGUAUGGUCAGUCGGCAGACGGGUGAGUAACGCGUGGGAACGUAGCUUUUGGGUCGGAACAACUGAGGGAGACUGGAGCUAAUAGCGGAUAAGCCCUUACGGGGAAAGAUUUAUCGCCGAAAGAUCGGCCCGCGUCUGAUUAGCUAGUUGGUGAGGUAAUGGCUCACCAAGGCGACGAUCAGUAGCUGGUCUGAGAGGAUGAUCAGCCACAUUGGGACUGAGACACGGCCCAAACUCCUACGGGAGGCAGCAGUGGGGAAUAUUGGACAAUGGGCGCAAGCCUGAUCCAGCCAUGCCGCGUGAGUGAUGAAGGCCCUAGGGUUGUAAAGCUCUUUUGUGCGGGAAGAUAAUGACGGUACCGCAAGAAUAAGCCCCGGCUAACUUCGUGCCAGCAGCCGCGGUAAUACGAAGGGGGCUAGCGUUGCUCGGAAUCACUGGGCGUAAAGGGUGCGUAGGCGGGUCUUUAAGUCAGGGGUGAAAUCCUGGAGCUCAACUCCAGAACUGCCUUUGAUACUGAAGAUCUUGAGUUCGGGAGAGGUGAGUGGAACUGCGAGUGUAGAGGUGAAAUUCGUAGAUAUUCGCAAGAACACCAGUGGCGAAGGCGGCUCACUGGCCCGAUACUGACGCUGAGGCACGAAAGCGUGGGGAGCAAACAGGAUUAGAUACCCUGGUAGUCCACGCCGUAAACGAUGAAUGCCAGCCGUUAGUGGGUUUACUCACUAGUGGCGCAGCUAACGCUUUAAGCAUUCCGCCUGGGGAGUACGGUCGCAAGAUUAAAACUCAAAGGAAUUGACGGAGGCCCGCACAAGCGGUGGAGCAUGUGGUUUAAUUCGACGCAACGCGCAGAACCUUACCAGCCCUUGACAUCCCGGUCGCGGACUCCAGAGACGGAGUUCUUCAGUUCGGCUGGACCGGAGACAGGUGCUGCAUGGCUGUCGUCAGCUCGUGUCGGUUGGAAUCGCUAGUAAUCGUGGAUCAGCACGCCACGGUGAAUACGUUCCCGGGCCUUGUACACACCGCCCGUCACACCAUGGGAGUUGGUUUUACCUGAAGACGAGUAGCGCUAACGGACAACCUGCAGCCACU